CUAAGUUUGAUGGCGACCGGCGCACGGGUGAGUAACACGUAUCCAACCUGCCGAUGACUCGGGGAUAGCCUUUCGAAAGAAAGAUUAAUACCCGAUGGCAUAGUUCUUCCGCAUGGUGGAACUAUUAAAGAAUUUCGGUCAUCGAUGGGGAUGCGUUCCAUUAGGUUGUUGGCGGGGUAACGGCCCACCAAGCCUUCGAUGGAUAGGGGUUCUGAGAGGAAGGUCCCCCACAUUGGAACUGAGACACGGUCCAAACUCCUACGGGAGGCAGCAG
rnacentral:rRNA from 1 species